rnacentral:rRNA from 1 species
GAUGAACGCUGGCGGCGUGCUUAACACAUGCAAGUCGAACGGAACUACUCCAAUGAGAGUCUUCGGAAAGGAUUUGGUUUAGUUUAGUGGCGGACGGGUGAGUAACGCGUGGGUAACCUGCCCUAUACAGGGGGAUAACAGUUGGAAACGACUGUUAAUACCGCAUAAGCGCCCAGGAGCGCAUGCUCCGGUGUGAAAAACUCCGGUGGUAUAGGAUGGACCCGCGUCUGAUUAGCUGGUUGGCGGGGUAACGGCGCACCAAGGCGACGAUCAGUAGCCGGCAUGAGAGGGUGAACGGCGACAUUGGGACUGAGACACGGCCCAAACUCCUACGGGAAGCAGCAGUGGGUAAUACUGCACAAUGGGGGAAAUCCUGAUGCAGCGACGCCGCGUGAGCGAAGAAGUAGCUCGGUAUGUAAAGCUCUAUAAGCAGGGAAGAAAAUGACGGUACCUGACUAAGAAGCCCCGGCUAACUACGUG